rnacentral:rRNA from 1 species
AUUGAACGCUGGCGGCAGGCCUAACACAUGCAAGUCGAACGAGUGGCGGACGGGUGAGGAAUGUCUGGGAAACUGCCUGAUGGAGGGGGACAACUACUGGAAACGGUAGCUAAUACCGCAUACCAUCGGAUGUGCCCAGAUGGGAUUAGCUAGUAGGUGGGGUAAAGGCUCACCUAGGCGACGAUCCCUAGCUGGUCUGAGAGGAUGACCAGCCACCCUGGAACUGAGACACGGUCCAGACUCCUCCGGGAGGCAGCAGUGGGGAAUAUUGCACAAUGGGCGCAAGCCUGAUGCCGCCAUGCCGCGUGUAUGAAGAAGGCCUUCGGUUUGUAAAGUACUUUCAGCGUGGAGGCGUUACCCGCAGAAGAAGCCCCGGCUAACUCCGUGCCAGCAGCCGCGGUAAUUC